rnacentral:rRNA from 1 species
UACGGGGGGAGCAAGCGUUGUUCGGAUUUACUGGGCGUAAAGGGCGCGUAGGCGGCCACCGCAAGUCACUUGUGAAAUCUCCGGGCUUAACCCGGAAAGGUCAACUGAUACUGCGGGGCUGGAGUGCAGAAGGGGCAACUGGAAUUCUCGGUGUAGCGGUGAAAUGCGUAGAUAUCGAGAGGAACACCUGCGGCGAAGGCGGGUUGCUGGGCUGACACUGACGCUGAGGCGCGAAAGCUAGGGGAGCGAACGGG